rnacentral:misc_RNA from 1 species
AACUUACCUAUAACGUUGCUUCGGCGGGAACAGACGGCCCCGUAAAACGGGCCGCCCCCGCCAGAGGACCCCUAACUCUGUUUUUAUAAUGUUUUUCUGAGUAAACAAGCAAAUAAAUCAAAACUUUCAACAACGGAUCUCUUGGCUCUGGCAUCGAUGAAGAACGCAGCGAAAUGCGAUAAGUAAUGUGAAUUGCAGAAUUCAGUGAAUCAUCGAAUCUUUGAACGCACAUUGCGCCCGCCAGUAUUCUGGCGGGCAUGCCUGUUCGAGCGUCAUUACAACCCUCAGGCCUCCGGGCCUGGCGUUGGGGAUCGGCGGAGCCCCUCCCGGGGCGCGCGGCCACGCCGUAAAACACCCAACUUCUGAA